GAUGAACGCUAGCUACAGGCUUAACACAUGCAAGUCGAGGGGUAACGAGAGGAAAGCUUGCUUUCCUUGUCGACGACCGGCGCACGGGUGAGUAACGCGUAUCCAACCUGCCCCCAACUAAGGAAUAACCUUGCGAAAGUAAGACUAAUACCUUAUAAUUUCCUCAGAUGACAUCUGACGAGGAAUAAAGAUUUAACGGUUGAGGAUGGGGAUGCGUCUGAUUAGCUUGUUGGCGGGGUAACGGCCCACCAAGGCAACGAUCAGUAGGGGUUCUGAGAGGAAGGUCCCCCACAUUGGAACUGAGACACGGUCCAAACUCCUACGGGAGGCAGCAGUGAGGAAUAUUGGUCAAUGGGCGGAAGCCUGAACCAGCCAAGUAGCGUGCAGGAUGACGGCCCUAUGGGUUGUAAACUGCUUUUAUACAGGAAUAAAGUUAGCCACGUGUGGUUAUUUGUAGGUACUGUAUGAAUAAGGACCGGCUAAUUCCGUGCCAGCCGCCGCGGUAACAC
rnacentral:rRNA from 1 species